GUAUGGUGCAAGCGUUAUCCGGAUUUACUGGGUGUAAAGGGAGCGUAGACGGAUAGGCAAGUCUGGAGUGAAAGCCCGGGGCUUAACCCCGGGACUGCUUUGGAAACUGUUUAUCUAGAGUGCUGGAGAGGUAAGUGGAAUUCCUAGUGUAGCGGUGAAAUGCGUAGAUAUUAGGAGGAACACCAGUGGCGAAGGCGGCUUACUGGACAGUAACUGACGUUGAGGCUCGAAAGCGUGGGGAGCAAACAGGAUUAGAUACCCUGGUAGUCCACGCCGUAAACGAUGACUGCUAGGUGUCGGGUGGCAAAGCCAUUCGGUGCCGCAGCAAACGCAAUAAGCAGUCCACCUGGGGAGUACGGCCGCGAGGCUA
rnacentral:rRNA from 1 species